GGCCGGAUAAGGCGUUCACGCCGCAUCCGGCAACCGAUGCCUGAUGCGACGCGGUCGCGUCUUAUCAGGCC
rfam:Trichuris trichiura, WGS project CBXK01000000 data, contig: TTRE_932